CUGGGAUAACCAUUGGAAACAGCUGACUAAUACCGGAUAAAACCCAAGUGCACAUGCACUAAGGUUAAAAGCUGCGUUUGCAGCGCUUUAAGAUGGAUUCGCGGUGCAUUAGUUAGUUGGUGAGGUAAAGGCUCACCAAGACGAUGAUGCAUAGCCGAGUUGAGAGACUGACCGGCCACAUUGGGACUGAGACACGGCCCAAACUCCUACGGGAGGCUGCAGUAGGGAAUCUUCCACAAUGGGCGCAAGCCUGAUGGAGCAACGCCGCGUGUGUGAUGAAGGCUUUCGGGUCGUAAAGCACUGUUGUAUGGGAAGAACGGGUUUAAGAGGAAAUGCUUAGACAGUGACGGUACCAUACCAGAAAGGGACGGCUAAAUACGUGCCAGCAGCCGCGGUAAUACGUAUGUCCCGAGCGUUAUCCGGAUUUAUUGGGCGUAAAGCGAGCGCAGACGGUUGCUUAAGUCUGAAGUGAAAGCCCACAGCUCAACUGUGGAAUGGCUUUGGAAACUGGGCAACUUGAGUACAGUAGAGGUAAGUGGAACUCCAUGUGUAGCGGUGGAAUGCGUAGAUAUAUGGAAGAACACCAGUGGCGAAGGCGGCUUACUGGACUGCAACUGACGUUGAGGCUCGAAAGUGUGGGUAGCAAACAGGAUUAGAUACCCUGGUAGUCCACACCGUAAACGAUGGAUACUAGUUGUUAGAGGGUUUCCGCCCUUUAGUGACGAAGCAAACGCAUUAAGUAUCCCGCCUGGGGAGUACGACCGCAAGGUUGAAACUCAAAGGAAUUGACGGGGACCCGCACAAGCGGUGGAGCAUGUGGUUUAAUUCGAAGCAACGCGAAGAACCUUACCAGGUCUUGACAUCCUUUGAAGGUACUAGAGAUAGUACUGUCUUCUUCGGAAGCAAAGUGACAGGUGGUGCAUGGCCGUCGUCAGCUCGUGUCGUGAGAUGUUGGGUUAAGUCCCGCAACGAGCGCAACCCUUAUGUUUAGUUGCCAGCAUUCAGUUGGGCACUCUAGACAGACUGCCGGUGACAAACCGGAGGAAGGCGGGGACGACGUCAGGUCAUCAUGCCCCUUAUGACCUGGGCUACACACGUGCUACAAUGGCGUAUACAACGAGCAGCAAACCUGUGAAGGUAAGCGAAUCUCUUAAAGUACGUCUCAGUUCGGAUUGUAGUCUGCAA
rnacentral:rRNA from 1 species